rnacentral:rRNA from 1 species
UACGUAGGGUGCAAGCGUUGUCCGGAAUUAUUGGGCGUAAAGAGCUCGUAGGCGGUUUGUCGCGUCUGCUGUGAAAACCCGAGGCUCAACCUCGGGCCUGCAGUGGGUACGGGCAGACUAGAGUGCGGUAGGGGAGAUUGGAAUUCCUGGUGUAGCGGUGGAAUGCGCAGAUAUCAGGAGGAACACCAAUGGCGAAGGCGGGUCUCUGGGCCGAUACUGACGCUGAGGAGCGAAAGCGUGGGGAGCGAACAGG